rnacentral:rRNA from 1 species
UACGGAGGGUGCGAGCGUUAAUCGGAAUUACUGGGCGUAAAGCGUGCGCAGGCGGCUAUGCAAGACAGAUGUGAAAUCCCCGGGCUCAACCUGGGAACUGCAUUUGUGACUGCAUAGCUAGAGUACGGUAGAGGGGGAUGGAAUUCCGCGUGUAGCAGUGAAAUGCGUAGAUAUGCGGAGGAACACCGAUGGCGAAGGCAAUCCCCUGGACCUGUACUGACGCUCAUGCACGAAAGCGUGGGGAGCAAACAGG